UUUAGUUUAAACAAAGUAAAGUACCAAUUUCUGGACUUAAGAAAUCUUGAUUGUGAGUGAAUGCAUACGCUUGUUUAUUGCUAUUUUUCUGUUAAAGGACAUUUUACAAGCACAAAAACAGGACAUAAAAGAUUGCGGCUGGUGGAAAACUUGGAAUUUCGCAGAUUGGCGCAUCUGACGCGUUACAUGAUUUCACCUGUGUACCAUGUUUCGACGAUGGCAAAAACACGGAAGCUCUGUUCCAGUGUACUGACUGCCAGAUCUUCUAUUGUCAAAGAUGUGUGACAGGUCACAACAAAUUAACCAAAAAUCACAAUGUAAUUGAUAAGGCUUCACGACUCUUUGGUCAAGGUCAGAGACAACCAAAAUUACCUUCUUCCGGUGAACUGCCGACGGAUUUAUGCGAGGAGCAUCAUGGACAAGUGAUACAGAUGUUCUGUGGACAACAUGACACGGUGUGCUGUACAAUAUGUAUUGCUGUGAAACACAGGUCCUGUGAAGGCGUAGAAUAUAUCCCAAACAUUGCCAAAGGACUUUUGAAGAAACAGGACAAAGACAAAACUAAAACAUCUUUGGAGAAAGUUUAAGAUGAUUUGCAGUAUUUGAAGUCCAAAAUGCAAAAUGAAUUGAAGAAGCUGAAUGUCCAACGUGAUGGUAUACUUGAUGAUAUACAACCGUUUAAGAAACGCAUUAUAGCCAAAAUUGAAGAGUUGGAGAGAAAAUCAAUAAAAGAGGUACAAGACAAGCACAAAGAGUUUGCAGACAAAAUAACUACUAGCAGCAAGAAAAUCGAUGACAUACUGAAAGAUUUUGAACAACAACUUGACAAGCUCAAACAAUUCAGAAGUAACAAUGAAGCUCAGGUUUUUGUAGACAUUAAGGUUGGUGAAGAGAAGAUAUCAGAUGGGAGUGAUUGUGCCAGACAAGCUACUGCUGAAAGGGUGGGAACUAUGGUAUUUGAGGUUAACAGAAGCGUAGAGACUUGUCUUAGCAAUGUACAGUCUCUAGGUAAACUAGCAUUCCAUAUUCCGGAGGACGAUAUUGG